CAUUAGGUGGCUGAAAGUAAGUAUUGGUCUCUUUAACCAUUUUAUAAUAAUUUAACAUUUAUUUCUAAUGA
rnacentral:tRNA from 1 species